CGUGUAGGCGGCUUUGCAAGUCGGGUGUGAAAGCCCUCAGCUCAACUGAGGAAGUGCGCCCGAAACUGCAGAGCUUGAGUACCGGAGAGGAUGGCGGAAUUCCCCAAGUAGAGGUGAAAUUCGUAGAUAUGGGGAGGAACACCGGUGGCGAAGGCGGCCAUCUGGACGGUCACUGACGCUGAGACGCGAAAGCGUGGGUAGCAAACA
rnacentral:rRNA from 1 species